GGCCACCUCUUCGAGCCUCGAUAUCACGCUGCUUGCCGGCCUCGUCGUGGCGAACCUCAACUCCUCUUUCUCUUCCCUCUUUUUCUCUUCGAACAACGGAGAUAAAUCGAAGCCUUCCGACAAUGAAAUUAUGUGGAAUGCGUUUAAGGUCUCGGGUUUAGAAGAUUUCUCUCCAUUGAAUGCUUCGAAUUCUAUUUCUUCCUUAGUUGUUUUAGUCUUGGGGAUUGAUUUUUUGAACCAAGAUGAUUCCGUGAUCUUGGAGAUGGCGAUUCGGGUUUUCGGGUUCGGGUCUAAAAGCUUGGAUAUUAGCCUCCGAGCUUCAGGUGAGAACCAUGGCGGACACUUGAAAUCUCCUCUGUAAAUCUUCUUAUACAUCGCCACCAAGUUAUCAUCUUGAAACGGUAAAAACCCGGCGAUUAGAACGUAUAAAAUCACCCCACAAGACCAAAUAUCCGCCUUGGCUCCGUCGUACCCUUUUUUUCCAAUGACUUCCGGCGCCACAUACGCCGGCGUUCCGCAAGUCGUGUGCAACAACCCGUCUUGUUUCAAAUGUUCCGUGAAAGCGCUGAGUCCGAAAUCGGUGACCUUCAAGUUGCCUUCUUCGUCUAAGAGAAGAUUCUCCGGCUUCAAAUCACGGUGGUAAACGCCGCGGCUGUGGCAGAAAUCGACGGCGGAAACGAGCUGCUGGAAGUAAACCCUGGCAGCGUCUUCCUUGAGACGACCUUUGGCGAUUUUCGAGAAGAGCUCGCCGCCGCGGACGAGCUCCAUGGCGAAGUAAAUCUUGGACUUGCUCGCCAUCACUUCGUGCAGCUCGACGAUGUUGGGGUGUUUCACCAUUUUCAUGACGGAGAUCUCUCGCUUGAUCUGCUCCAUCAUCCCGACUUGGAUCACUUUCUCUUUGCCCACCACUUUCAUGGCGACACUCUUCCCUGUUUGAAGGUUCUUCGCAUGGUAGACUUUGGCGAAGGUUCCAUGACCCAACAUACGGCCAAGCUCGUAUUUUCCAUGGAGUAAAGAUGGGUUUUCGGUUUUAGCUUUGUCCGCCAUUUUUGAACCGUAAAAGCUCGAGAAAUUAAAAAGAAAAAUAAGAAAAGAAACGGAUACCCUUUGAUCUGAAUUACUGUAUAUUUACAAUAUAAGUGAGAAAUAUAUGUAUAUUUAAAACUGAUAGCCUUCAAACUGAAUCACCCGUCUUCGACGUGUUUUCGGUGACAAUUUCGGCCGCCGAUGGAGCGCUUACGGUGGUAACAAAGCUCAGGCCUUGCCAACGAUGAACGUCUCAUCUCUCUGCAUUCCCCAAGGGGAUUUUUACACUUGUAAAAUUAUAAUGAAAAAAAAAACAAAAACAAAAAAGCCUUUUGCUGUAAUCUCCAAUAGGCAGAGGAGAUUUGAAGCUUUUUGCUCUUUCUCUUUUGGGAUUCAAUGCUCAAGGUUCCAACUUAUACAAGUUUUCAGAGCCUGGAAUUCCCGUUUUGUCCCUUGUAUUAUGGUCAAAUUUAUAAAUGGUCCUUAUACUAUGUACUUUUUAUGGGCUUGAUCACUCUUUUAUAAUUUGUGUAUUUUUCGGUCAAGAGGAUAUUUUUCUAUUAAUUAGUGUCGGAAAAUACAAAAACAAAAAAGUAUGAGAUUAUAGUAAAAGGACUAAAUGUGCGAAAAUGAUAUAGUAGAGGGAUUUUAGAUAGCAUUUGACCUUGAAUGAUCAUGAUAUGAACAGUAAAAUGGUGACACGUGGGAAGCCUUCCAGCAAUGAUCUGACCGUUUUGUCCUUGUUGACGGUAGGUUCUGAAUAAUUCCGUAUUAGUAAUUCUAUCAAAAUUACGUAAUAUUUUAACAUGCGGUUCUCCAAUCUCCAUUCAUCCAUUCUAAUAUCAUAAAAUUCAAUCACCAAAUAUCACAGUCAAAUGGUCAGGUUCUGAGUACACGUGUAAGGUACUAAUUUUUCCUUUUUCACAUAUUGAUGACUAAAUUAUAAAAAAUUUAAAAAUUAUAGAAAUAGACCAUUUUUUUAAAUAUUUACAAGAAUAAGGAAACCUAAAAAAACUCUUCCAACUAAGCAUUUCUACCACAUCAACACUAAAAGUGACGGCACUAAUUUUAUUUUAUUUUUGGUGUCACAUAUUAAUGUGAAAAUAAAAUUUACAAAACAAGCCUUUAUAUAGACUUAAAGUUUUAUUUCAUUAUUUUCUUAAGCAAUAUGAGAUAUGAGAUAUGUGUUUAUAUAAACUCGUUUGCAAUUUAUUCCUAGGCAAUAUAGAAUUGAUUCCUUAAAUUGUGAUAUAUAUAGACAAUGUGUAUAUAUUAGACUCAUGAAUAUGUUUAAUCCACCACUUUGCCUAAAUAUUUAUUUUAUUUAGAUAAAAACCUAAAUAAUUAUUUUAUUUAAAUCUUCUUUUUUUCACCAAAUUUUUAGUAUCGCAAUUCCAAAUCCUAAAAUAUUUGGAAGAGUAUGGCCCCUACUAUCUUUGUGCAGAGAUAAAUCUUGAUUUUUUUUUCGUCCAUACAUAUUAUUAUUUGUUAAAAUAGAUUGAAGUCCUUGUAUUCUUGAUAAGUUUAGAAUUUAGGCAUUUUAUUUUAUUUCAAAUAAUUUAGUUUAUCUAUUUUUUGAAUUUAAAAAUACAAGUCUAAUUGUUAACAUUAUUAAAAUCAUUUUGUUAAAUUUAUUGGUGUGACUAAAUAAAAAAUUCACAAAUAUUAUAACAUCUGGAUUAAUGAUUAAACUGACUAACCCAUCGAUUUUCGAUUUAAUUGUUCAACAAUAUUUAAAUAAAAAAAUUCAAAUCAGCUUUAGAUUUUGUGACAAGUGUUGAACUCUGAUUUCCAACACGUAGCUCCAAAUCAUAUUAGAUAAAAGACAAGAUUAAAAGUUGUGCAAGAAAAAGGAAAGAACAUUAUCCUUCAAUCAUAACUCUUUUCAAAGUAAAUUAUAAAUCUUCAAAUUAAAGUGUAGCCCAACUAUUUUAAAUACACAUGUAGAAAAAAAAUUAAAAUUAUUUUUUGAGUAUGUCAAAUAUAGAUUUUAACUAGUAUGCCACAUGGAAAUUAAUAAUUUUAAUUACUCAUUUUAAAAAUAAAAAAAAUUAAAUUUUUUUUUAACUUUGUUUCUUUAUUAUAUUAGAUAUAGACUUUAGAUUCGCACUUUUCAUAUAAAUCAAUUAUUUUAAAUACAAUAGUUAAACAUUAAAAAAAAAGACAUAUAAAUACAAUCACUUUAUGAUUUUUAAGAAUAUAUUUUAAGAAAAAAUCAAUUUACAUAUUGACAACUUAAAUAUGUCUUCAAAAAAAACACUAUUUAUAUUGAACAUAUUCAUGAGUCUAUAUAUCACAAUUUAAGGAAGUAAUCCCACAUUGUCUAGGAACAUGCUACAAACCUAUUCAUGAGUUUAUAUAUACACAUAUCUCAUAUCCCACAUUAUUUAAGAAAACAAGGAAAAUGAGACUUUGAGCCAAUAUAAAAACCAAUUUUGUAAGUUUUAUUUCCACAUUAAUAGGUGCACCAAAAAAAUUUUUUUGGUGCUGCCACUUUUAGUGUUGAAGUUGGAAGCGUUUUUUUGGGUUUCCCCUGAAAACUGGAAGUGUUUUACCAAAAUCAGUCCAUUCCUGUAAAUUUUCAAAAAAUCAACCUAUUUUCGUAAAUUUUUUAAAAAUGUUUUUUUUUUGUUUUAAUUUAGUCCUUAUUAAAUGAAGAAAAUAUUAAUUCAACAUUGUAAUAUUUACGUCAAAUUCGACUCUUACUAGAUUUAAUUUCUAUAUUUUAAUUUGGACAUUUUUAGUUUAUAUACUUUUCAAAUUUUAAAAUUUCAAUUUACCCAAACAGUAACCGUUAAAUCGGUUAAUUUAAAUUCUACUAUUUCUAAAAUUUUAUACGAGUAUAUUAUCCCAUGUGGAAUCAUAGGCGAAGCUAAGAAUUUUUGAUUGGGGGCUGGAAUAAAAAUAUAAAUUGUUGGGGCUAAAAUUAAAAUUUGUAUGCUAAAAAAUGUUAAAUUGAAUUAUUAUAUGUCAAAAGUGUCCAAAAAAAAAGUAAUUUAACUAUUUUAUUCGGGGGACGAGAGAGACUACUGUUCCUUUGGAUUCACCCCUCUAUGUAAUACUAUAUCAAUUUGUUAUUUUCAUAUAAUAUUCACAAAAACCACGACAUUUAGUUAAUGAAUUUGAUGGGUACCGUUUAAGUCAAAAUUAAAAUUUUAAAAUUCAAAAAAUAUAAAAACUAAAAGUAAUCAAAUUGGAGAAUGUGAACUAAACUCACAACUUACAUGUAAUACAUGGUUAAUAACAAUAUUUGUCUUAAUAAAUUUAGUUGUUACUAUUUAAGUUAAGGUAAACUACAUCACAAGUUACCUAAUUAUGAGCCAUUUUUUUUAGUCACCCAUCUAUGAUUUUUUUUUUUAAAAUUGGUCACCCAAUUAUGUACUUGUUUUUAAAUGAGUCACCCAACUAAUCAAGAUUGUUCUUUUUGGUCCAUUUCCCUUAAUUGCACUAACAGGAGGGUGACAUGACAAUUAAAAAAAUAAUAUAAUAAUAAAUUUAGCCCUCAAAUUUUACAUAUUAUAUCGAUUUAGUCAUAAUUUUAAAAAUUUAACCCUCAAAAUUUACAAAUGCUCUCAAUUUGAUCCUAAUUCUAAAAUUUUUAAAGAAAGAUAUAAAAAUACAACAAUAAUUUCAAAAAAAUAAAAAAAUGAUUGUUGACUGGAAGUAAUAAUAUAUAAAAAUUUAAAAUAUAUAAAAUGCAUAAUUUUUUUUUAAAAUAUAAAAAUUAAAAUAAUUUUUAUAUUAAUAUUAAAUAAAAAUAAAUUUAAUACUAAUAUUAAAUAAAAUAAUGAUUUUAAAUAUAUUAAUAUAUUUUUGUGAAAACAUUUAUGUAUUUUUAUAUAUUUCUUUAAUUUUUUUAGAAUUAGGAUCAAAUUAAGACUAUUUGUAAAUUUUGAGGGUUAUUUUUAAAAAUUAUGAGUAAAUCGAUAUAAUAUGUAAAAAUUGAGGGAUAAAUUUAUUAUUAUAUCGCUUUUUCGACUACCACAUCACUCUCAUGUUUGUCCAUUAACAAAAUGUACCGAUCUUGAUUAACUGGUGACCAAUUUAAAAGAAUUCAUAGUUAAAUGAAAAAAAAAAUCAGAAUUGGAUUGUACUAUAGUUAGGUAAGUUGUAUUAUAGUUUACUAUUGAGAUAUUUAAAACUCAAAAGAUUUAAUAAAUGAAGUUAUUUCCUUUUAGAAAUAUAAUAUUCUUUAUUUUUGACUCAAGGUUUUGUUAGUAUACAAUUAAUGGCAAAAUAUAGGCAUCACAUGGCAUACUAUUUAAUAUAUUUCUUUUACAAACAACCAUGCCAUGCAUGGAUGGUGGAGUAACAUGCAAUUUCAUCACAUUUCCAAUAUAUAUUUUUUGUUUAUCAACCUUCACAUGCAUAUUAUAUCUAUAUCAACCAAUUUAAUUGGAUAAUGAGGACAAAUAUCUCUAUUUUAUAAAAUAUAUUGUAUUGUUUUGAGGGUGUUUUUGUUAUUUUAUUUAUUUUUAUAUAAAAAAUAUAUACAAAAUAUGGAUGUUGAAGGGAGCCGGCUCCUUCCAAAGUAGCCUUUGAAGUGUUGUUUGUUAAGAGCCAACGAAUCUCUCAACAAAUCGGAUAUUGUCCUCGAAGAUGGGUUUUAUCUAUUGACUCCAUUCAGAGCUGUGCGCAGUUCAUGAACUGGGAGCGCGUCAUUAGAUGCCUAAUAAAGUAGAUCGUAUGUAUGCACAAAGUCACUAAGGUUAACCAAGACAAAUCGAGAAAUUGCAAACUAGUCCGAACCAAAGUGUUUGGGCUAUUAAUAUUAAUAGAAUAAAAAUUUAAAAACUGUGAUUACGCAAAUGAACUAAAUUCUAUUUUUAUUUAAUUUAUAAUUCAUUUUAAUAUUUUAUUAUAUAAAAUAAAUAUUUUAUAUUUAAAAUAGUGUAUUAAUUUAAGAGUUCUAAGAUUAUCUAAUUAAUUGUCAAUGCAGCUUGGGCUAAGAUCUUGUACUUUAAAAAUCUUAGUUGGAGUCUCAUUUUACAUAAAUUAUAUAUGGGUUUUCUACUUUUAUCCAGACUUAAAUCAAAGAAAUUCAAGCUGGAUUGGGGCAAGCUUAAUUAUCUUUAGCAUCCAUUUGGGUAGUGGAAGGGUUAAAAAUUGGUCGCCGGACCAGACCAGACCAGAUCACCCACGUAAUUGCAAUUAUUUGGUAUAAUUUUUCUGAUUAUUUACCGCAAAAAAAAAAUCAUAUAAAAUAAUAAUAUCCUUAGAUCUAAUUAGCUUUGAGCUUCGAGAGAGUUUAUGAGUCAUUUGAAAAAUAAGCAAUUUUUAAUAUUUGAUUGAAAUUAGGGUAUUUAGGUAAUGAUUGGUUCUAUUGUGAUGAAUAAUUUUCGAAGAGAUAAAUGAUCGACUAUAAAAUGUGUUCUAUGUCUUUAAAUAGAGAUUGAACUUUCAACCAUAUAAUUAAGAGAUGAUAUAAAUAACCACCACGCUACACCCAAUCGUUAAAUAAUUUUUAAAAUAUUUAUUCACACAUUUUAAAUUCUAAUUCUUGAAUGUAAUCCAUGUGUAAUUAAUUUAAAAUAAUUUAUUUUUGUUUAACUUAUAAUUAAAAAUAUAAAAUAAAAAAAGUUUGAUUCUCUCUUGCUGAUUAACCAACAAACCAAAUGCUAGUGUCAUGGGUGCGGCCUUAGGCAGUUUCUUUGCUCAAAAACGCCUAAGUCAGCCUAACUCGCAACGAUAAAGGAUUCAACAGAAUUCCCUCAAGCCACCCACGAAGAACAACAGAAGAACGAAGUAAGAACGAAGUUUGAAAGAUGAACAAAAGCCAAAGAAAAGCAAGAACAGGAUCGUUAAGAACGAACUUUGAAAGAUGAACAAAAGCCAAAGAAAAGCAAGAACAGGAUCGUUAUUACUGGCCUCACAUAGGUGUUGCUGUGGAAACCUAUGUGAAAACUUGUCUAAUAUGCCAACAAGAAAAGGGCGUCGCUAGAACAAGUGGGGGAGAAUGUCAUGGGUUGCGCAUGGGAGCACGCAACCAUGUCAAACUUGUGCGAUCCAUCGUAUCAAAGAAACUGCCUAAGGCUACACGGAUCGCGUGGGAAAACUCUAAGUCUGUGACACUAGUACUAGGAAGACAAAGUCAAUAAAAACAAGGAAAUGCAAGGAUAAAUUAUUAUUUUGACUCCUCUAUUAUGGUAGAGUAUAAGAAAGAAUUAUAACGUUACAAACAAAUGUUAAGAUACAAUAAUCAAGAAUAUUAUACUUUUAUAAAAACAAUUUAAUUCAAAUUUUAUUUAAAAGAAGUAAUUAAAAAAUUAAUUUUUGUACAACAUAAAUAAUGUUUUUUUACACAAACUAACUAUUUUAAGCUAUCAUAAAUGAAAGGUUACUCGCUUCAUCAACCCCAAGGUCGGCUACGAGUUCCUAAGGUGGGUUGUCAAACACUUAUACGUUUGUACUCCUCUUCGAAGUCAUCUUAGCAAGACGACCAACAACUUGAUUUCUCUCACUUGAAAUAUGUUUAAUUUGGCAUUGUUCCAUGAUUUGUAAUAUCAGGUGGAUCAUUUUUACUAGAAUUGAGUUUAAUUCAAUUAAGUGUGUGUCUUAAAAACUUUGACAACCUCUAAACUAUCAGUAUGGAUGAAAACUAACCCAUCUAAAAUCUCUAAAACUGAACAAUUUCCAAAUGACUGCAUCCAAAGAUCCAUUUUCAAUUUUGGUCGCAUAUCACACCCGAGCAAAAGAACCACAACCGUAAUUGGAUUAAAAUAAAAUAAAAAUAAAAGGAAGGCUGUUUUUGGUUCAGGUUGUAUUCAAAGGUUUAAUGAUGAUAUUUUUGGGGUCCAUAUCUCGUACGUUUGGUAUGUCUGUCUUUAGUCUCUAUUGUCUUCUAAAGGAAUUGACCCCACUGGCCCCCUUCAAAAAUUAAGACAUAAAAUUUCAUAAUAUAAAUUUAAAAUAAUUAUAAUAAUAAUUCAGUGGCAUGUGGCUCAAACUUUCCAAAAGUUUGAGUUUUGUGACAGGGACAGCCGGAAUCCGACAAGCACCUUACUUGAUGCAAUUUGUCUUAAGUUUUGUGAUGUCAUCCCACAAGUAAAAGUUUGAUUUUUUUUAAAUUAAAUUAGUACUAGGAGAGAUUAUUCCUUUCUUUAACAAUUUAGUUUGAUUUUACUUUAAAUUUACUUAUAACUUAAUAUUCAUAAUCUAUAAUCUAUAAUAUUAUUAAUUUGAUAUUUUAAAAUAAUUAUAACCAAUUUCAAUAAGUUAAAAAGAUAUAUUAAAAUAAAAUUUACGAUAAUUAUUUUAUAGAUUUAGAUUUAUUUAAAUUAUAAUAAAAUAACUAAAAAUGAAUUAGUACACAAUAAUUAUAAUAAAAUAAAAUUGUGAUAAUUAUAACAAAUUUAAACCAAUUAGAAACUCUUUCCAUUUCUCUUUCCUAUAGUUAGGGUUUUUAAUAUUUUUAAAUUUAGGGUUUAGGAUUUUUAAUAUUUUUAAGUUUAGGGUUUUUUAAAAGGAUUUGGGGUUUUUAACUGAAAUCGGGAAAUUUCAAAGGUAGUUUUGAGGAGUUGGGGAUAUGAUAACGCAGUUCAUAAUACAUACAUUUCAUAUGUCGUGGUAAGACAUAUCACUCCAGAAACCCAUUUUGGGGAAAUAUGGUUUCGGGGUGAUUGUGCUUGAUAAGAUCAAGGGUCGAAGUCCAAGUGGAGGUCCUAGUUGACGACCAUGAUACGGUCACAGAUUCGAGUAUAACUGGUGGCCAGUUGACAGUCGUUACACGGUUACAAGUUCAAGCUUUUUGGAUACCCCGCAAAUGAUGCCUUAUGUAUACCAUACAUAAGAUUGAGGUCAUAAUCAUAAGGAAAAACGAAGAGAUUUUCAAUGUAAACAACGUAAUUUUUUUCUCUAUUUCCUCACAGCCGGUAUCUUUAACCUUUCAUUCUUAUCCAAAGGCUAACAUUGAGGUAAACACAAGAGGACUCUCAAAAGAGAGCAGAUGUUUCGACGGAAGUAGAGGUCAAACUCAGGUCAGCAUGAAAGCGGUUGUAGUUAUUAAUAAAUUGUUUAAUAACGACAAUUACUGUCAGCUUAAAAGGAACAUCACGUUUACUCCACUAAAAUAGUCACUCCCUGCCUGAUAGUCCUCUUGCGUCGACAACGGUGUUGGCUUUUGAAUAAGAAGUAAGGUUAAAGGUAUCGGUUGCUUGGAAAUUGAGAAAAAAAUUAUGCCGAUUAUAGCGGGAAUGCCUACAGUUUUUCCCUAUGAUUAUGCCUUUAAACUUUCAUAUGUUAUUUAUAAGUUAACAUUUUUGGGUAUCCGAAAACUUUGAGCUCAUGGCCGUGUAACAAUUGUCAACUGGCUCCUCCGUUAUACCUCGAUCCAUAAUUGCAUAACAGUCAUCGAUUGAGACCUCCACGUAUACUACCACUCAGGAACCCGACUUCCCUAGUAUAAGCUUCGGGGUAAUGGUCCCAUCUCAGCAUGAUAUAUAAAAUGUGUGCGGCUCGAAGCGAUAUCGCGUCACUGACGACUCAAUAAUACCUUGAACAUCAACCAAAAAUUUUUAUUGACAAAAUUUUUUUACACCGAGAAGUGUUUACUAAAAGAGGGAUGGAGAAGUUGUGGGAGAAGAUUUUUGAGGGACGAUGAAGUAUGAAGUGGAAGACUCCUUUUUAUAGCUAUGAGGGAAGGGUUGGAUUCCAAAGUAGAAAUUUUCCGUAGUCGAAAACACACUGCAAGACUAGCGUCUUCUAGGAAUAUAUUCUAAACUUGCCUAAAAAAUUGAUGCACGUUGGAAGAAAAAGGGCAUGUGCUUUUGAAGAAAAUGGUUAAAGAAAGCACGCACAACUGGGCGUGCUUUCUUUAACAUUUUUUCAGUUGAAAAUUAAAAGCAGCGGAUCCCAAAGAAUAUUUUUGUAUAAUUGAUGCACAUUUCGAGGUGUCAAACAUUAUUAGAGGCACUAUUUAAAUAAAAUAUUAUAAUUUCAGGAACGCGCUUUUGAAUAAUACUUUGCACUUCAUCAUCAUUGUUCAACAACAUGUAUUCAUAAACAUAUAUUGAUGCACGUAUUCCCUCUCUCACUGGCUUAUUUUCCUAUUAAAGGCAUGUAAUUUGCAUAACUUUAAGACACAUCAAAUUAAUAUAAAAAAUUAAAUUGUUGCGUCGCGAAACUCGUGUGUACUUCUGACAACCCUCUACUUUUUUUUUGGUAUUGUUAAUCCAAUUCGUGAUCGAUAUUGAAAUGAGUCGAUGAGUGAAAUUCGUUAUCUACUUUGAUGGUCAGCUUUAUAAUACAAAGGUCGAUAUGGUAUUUGUAGGAGCACAGCCCAUGGAAUUAACGUUCAAUCAUGGCAUUCAACUGCGUGAGCUACGGACUAGAAUCAAGAGAAAAGUUGUAGGUUUGACUCGGGGAAAAAUUUUGAGGUUGCAAUGUAGAUACCUUACUACAGUUGACCCCUAUAAGUAUGACCUAUUUGAUGUGAAUAUGACCUAUUUGAUAUGAAUGGCAAGCUCUAGCUCGAGACGAUCAUAUCAUUGUACGUCUCAAGCGAAAAUGUUGUAAUUGGUUUAUACGUCGAGUUUACCGAGGUUUAUGGUUCUGGCCCAUCUUUGACCAUCGUUGUGGCGAAUGUUGGAAUUGAGGCCGAAGUAGAAAGUCCCACAACAUGGUUGUAUGGUGGGUUCGCUGACUUGUUACAAAGCUCUUAUUAUGAUGUCCCCGAAAUAUCUACUGGGAAGCACUCGUCGGUCUCCAGCACAGAUCUAAACUUCGAGAGCUAGUACUAGUCAGGGUAUGAGCAUAACCCUAAUCUUGACAUUUGAGCUCGACUUUUAAUUAGUUUGUUUGAUUUCAACUUCUGUAUGGGUUCAAUGUCAUGAGCCGAAAGCACAAAUACCGGGUGUUCAUCAAUGAACACCGGAUACCAAACCGGUGUAAAUUUUGGCGAGCACGUGGGUUAUAGAAGAACCGUUGAUUUACUCUUUUCCAUAGGGACUGGCGAGGGUACAUUUAACCCCUUGCUAGAAAGGGACAAUGGAGGCGCAGAUGAGGAAAAAGAUGCGAUCGAGGAAGAAGAUGUGGUCGAGGAAGAAUAUGCAAGUGAGGAACAAGUAACAACGGAUGCAUUUGACUGGAAGGAGUCAGACCCUAAGCCAAUCCGAUAGUAUGAACCUGAUGGUUUGAGGUGGCAUUAUCUUUUGAACUGGAGUCAGUUUCAACAGAGCUAGAAUCUUGCGGGUCUGAUGGUGACGGCUUGGACAAUGUUCUGGAUCCAGAUUCGCAAUAUAGGGCAUAUGAACCUCUGCCCCACAUAACCAAAAUUAUCGUAUCGACCGAGGGUAGUUUAGAGUUUCCAUGUCUACCGCACAGAACACCUGACCAUGCAAGCACAUCGCAUGACAUAAAAGUACUAGAAGUUGGUAUGGAAUACCUAAGGAAAGACGUUUUUUUUUUGCUACACUAAAGUGGUACAGCCUCAAGAAUGGUGUCAAAUACCAUGUCAUGUAGUCCUAUUCCAAUAAAUUCGAGGAAAAAUAUGCAAUUCGCAACGAGAGGUGCAAGUGGAAAAUCAUGGCAUCUUUAUGGAAGAAGACUGAGCUAUGGAUGAUAAAGAAGUAUUCUGGUCUACAUACCUCUGUUGCGGCAGGUGCAAGUCAGUAUUAUCCAAUGCUAGAUUCUGGCAUUAUUCUACCGAUGAUGAAGGCGAGUCUUAGGAUUCCUGUCCUGGUGUUGCUUAACAUCCAUAGCUAGUUUGAUUACACUCUAUUGUACUACAAAGUGUAGGUUAGAAAAUAGAAGUCUAUGAAUAAGUUGCAUCAUGGUUGGGAUAGUUUGUACAACUAUCUUUGGCAAUGGUGUCAGGUGUUGGAUCGGUAUAUUCUAGAUUCCAUAACUGAUCUAAAAAUGCAUCUAGCGUACUUUGGCGAUCGAUUGGUCCUCGGGAAAAGAGUAUUCAAUCAAUUAUUUUGGACUUUUAAGCAAUGUAGAAAAGCUUUUCAGUUUUUGGCACUGCAAGUCUUGGUGCAAAUUGAUAGUACUCGAUUGUACGGAAGGCAUGAGCAUCAGUUGUUGAUUGUUUUUGCUCAAACAGUAAUAAAAGGAUUCUGCCAGUUGCAUUAGCAAUAAGUCCAAAAGAAAAGGUAGAUGACUGAGAUUUUUUCCUAAGCAGGUUACGCCGUUGCAUUUACACCUAGUCUGACAUAUGUGUCAUAUCAGACAAGGGAACCGAAAUCCUGUCCACUAUUGACUGCCAUGGUAGCCUUUGGUAUCGCACCCAUUACAAGUACUGCAUACGACAUGUCAGAUCCAACUAUCACUCAAAAUAGCCUUCGAAAAGUGAGCGAGAUGCAGUCAUCGAUAUAGGUAUGUAAAUGGCACCAUCUGCAUAGUUAUGUUGUACCCUAUUUCUUUCAUUGUUUGCAUUAAUGGGUGUGUUUUUCUUAAUAGGUUACGAGUUCGUCCAACAUCGUUUCAUGAAAUAUUGAACAACUUAGGCGCCAUCAACAGCUAUAGUGCGACAUACCUUACCAACAUACCUUUCAAACAGUGGACGCAAUCGUAUGACGGGCGUUUACGGUAUAGGUGCAUGACAUCAAACUUAACAGAGUGUAUCAAUUUCGUAUUAAAGGGGAUAUGUCAUUUGCCGAUAAUCUCGAUUGUGAAAGAAACAUACUUUCACCUAGCUGUGUUAUUUCUAAAGAGGAGGGCGACAUACGCUGGACAGAUAGCGGGCGACCAUACUUGUUGUGAGGAUGUAAUGAAAGAAGUCAGAUGAAAUACGGUAAGAGCGAAAAAUAUGUAUGUAGUGUGCCACUUGCAUCGGAACCUAAAAUUUUGAGUCAUGGAGCACGCUAGGCCUAAAAUUUCAAAUUAGAUCAUAUCAGGGGCAUCAUAUCAUGCUGACCUAAUAGGAGAGACUUGCGAUUAUGGGAGGUUCCAAGCUCUUCAAUUCCCAUGCGCACAUGUAAUUGCCACAUGUGGAAACCUAAGAAUUUAGUACACGCCUUACAUCAACAAUGCGUAUAGUCUAAAACACAUGUAUAGAGUAUGGCGUCCUAAAUUCUAACCUGUCUCAGAUGAGAGUAUGUGGUCACCAAUGUCCAGCGUGCCGCUCGAGUUGGCACCGAACAUGAACCUACAUCAUGUCCAUAGAGGUUAUCUGAAUACCACCUGGAUACAGAAAUAGGAUAUUCAGGAGAGAGACAGUCAACAUAGGCUUUAUGGGUAUUGUAGAAACCUAAGGCAUACGAAAGCAACAUGUUCUGUGUUGAGGGGUACUUUGAGGCCUCAACAUUGAUAGCAUUAUUUUUGGGAAAAGUAUAUAUUCAUUAUGGUGCUUCCAUUAUUCUACUGUUCAAAAUUUUUUAUUUAUUAUUAACUUACGCAUAUAUCAUCUUAAAAUGUAAUGAAGACAAAUAUAGUGUUGAAAUGAAAAUUAUAGUGUUGAAAUGAAAAUAUAUGGUUUAUUUAUUUAUGUCAUAUAUAUUUACUUUGCAGUAAUAAUAAUAAAAAUACAUCAAUCUCAUAGUGGGGGAGAAUAUGCGCCACAAGGCGGUGGACGAUGCUCGCGAGAAGGAUUUCUAUGCACAAUUAAAAAUGCUCAAAUUCAAUGUCGUCUUGACCUCCCAUCAUGUAUCCUUCACUCCAUCGAUUGUCGGUUGUGUCGAUGGUCCACCCUGAUAAAACAAUGAUACAAAUGGUGUUUUUGUCACUAUCAGCGUGUAACAGUAAGGCACAACAAAAUACAGAUACAUAGGCAUUGACCUGGGCAUCGACAAUGACAUCGACAUCGACAUCUACAUCGGUGUUGUCAUUGCUGACGGUGCAUGCAUCAACAUCUGGCUUAACAUUUGGGUCAGCAUUGAAAUCGACAUCAAGAUGUAGAAUACGGGGGACGUUGGUGGCUCGAAAUAUUUACCUACGAGAAUAGAAGAAUCGAGUACGUAUGAUGGUGGUGCUGAUAGCAUGUUUAUUUUGUAUGUUUUAUGUGUUUAAAUAAAUUGAUUCUUGAAUCAAUUCUUGUUAAAUUGGUGAUUUUAUGUUUAAGUUAUGUCAAGAACAUAAUUCAGAUGCUUUAAAUAAAAAACAAGAAAAAAAAAGACUAAACUAGAGCACAAGCAAUAAAAGGGGGGCUGAAUCAGAUAUUUUGAGACAUUUAAGGAUUGAUCAGAGUAAAAGCCAUAUUUAGAAAAAAAAUCUUAUAUGAAUUUGAUUUCAUGUAAUUGGUUGUUAGGUGAGUUAGGCUAAUUUUAAUAUAUGAUAAUAUGAGACCUUUGAAAUACAAAAAAUGCACAUUGUAUAAAUAGGAUGGUAUUCAGAUGACCUCUUGAGAUAGUACAGAUUCGUCCGUAAACUAUAUAUAUAAAUAGGAUGGGUGGUGACCUUUGAAAAAUAGACUAGAAUACACGAGGAAAUUGAAUAUAAUUUAUCUUCUUUCUUUUCUUUCUCUCGUCAAAACUAGUGAAGGCAUUCUGCCAUUUUACUUUUUUUUUCUCAUUUCUUUAUUUAUUAGCUUAAUUGCUUCCCAAGCCCAUUCACUUUCCACGUUCUACCAUUUCCAUUAAAUCCAUUUACAUAUACCAACUAGCACGAUUAAGCUCAUGCUUAACUAAUUCUCUUUUAGCUAUAGUCUGGUUAUUACUUCGACAAAACAAUUGUGAGAUAUGAACUCGCACUAAAAUUUUUUUAAUACGGUAUUUGCUAUCUCUCCGGACUAUGGGAUAGUACAAAUUCUUCCAGUAAAGUUAAUUCAAUUUCAAUUCAAAAAGUGCACGUUGGGUUGGAGUUGUCUGGCGUAUAGUUGGGAAGCCGAGUCGGUCGUGCUGUAUUCUAAUUCCCGUGAACAAAUUGGCAUGCCCAGGUGGGAAAAUGCCAGUUGGAUCCCAUCAAGGGAGAUAGUGGUCAGAUUUAAACGACCCAUGAGGUUGAGGCCGUUGAUCCUAGUUGGAGUGUACUGAGACUGAGGCUAAGCUUUAAUAUAAUUAGUUCACCGAUUUAAUUUAAUUUAUUUAAUUUUAUUUUGCUACCAUAAUUCUUGUUUUAUUAUAUUAUAUUAUAUUAUUUUAUUUUAUCUAUCAACUAAAUCUCCCUAUUUUGUUUAUUUUACAGUUUUGCACACAUAGGUCGAGGGCACAACAGUUGCAUAGACUUAGAAAUCUGGUCACGAAAAUAGGAAAAUUAGGAGUCUUAGUCCCUUUGGGAUCGACCCUAUUACUCUAUACUACUAUUUAAUUAAGUAAGAGUGUAGGAAUUUAUAUUUCGUGGAUUCGGCAUCCAUCAAAUUUUGAUGCUAUUGCCGGGGACUGGAAAUAUUUUUUUUUCUAGUUUUCGUUUGUUUUCUUUAUGUCCAGGUCAGAACCGAGGACUCUAGAAUUUGAACCGAAAAUAGAGAAGUUGGCUUGGACACUAUGAAGAGAUGCUAUUCGACACAGUAAACAGUCACAACCCGAGUUCGAAACAAGAUUUUAUACCGAACAUAUUUUCCCAUUCAAUAAACCAAACGAAAUGGUAGGUCAAACUAAAUGCCAACUCACAGUAGCACCAGAUGAAUAAUAACCACUAUGCAUAACUUAUCUGGUCGAAGGAACGCCGUUCGAGUUGAAAUCAAGAUUAAUUCAUUUAUUGCCCAUCUUUCGUAGAUUGUAAAAUAAAAAUCUGCAUACCCAUCUUAAAGAAUUUCACAUGGUUUGCACAAGCAUGAAACCUCAGGGAGUGACUGAAGGUCAAAUUAAACUUCAUUUUUUUCCUUUCUCGUUAGCCGACUCUGCUAGAGAGUAAUUAUUUUAUUUACCUCCUGAUGUAGUUAAUACAGGUUUGAUAUGUCUUAUUUAUUUCUUAACAGAUUUUUCCCAGCAGCUCGGGCAGCCGAAUUGAUUAAAUGCUAAAAUUACAUAUUCUAUGUAAUUAAAUUGGUUAAUUUAUGAGAGUGUACCAUUGAUUCUUCCAUGUUUAUAUUGAAUUUUAUGCAGGGGUGCACUUUGGGGUUAAAUAGAAGAAAAAUGAAACAAUUGGGCUAGAUUGAAGAAAAGAGCAAAGAAGGCGGGCCAAAGCAGAAUUUUUCCAAGAUGCAAUUAGCUGAAAUUUUAUGUUGACUUAGUGGGAGAUUAUGUAGGGAUUUUUAUAUCAUGGAAAAUUUUAUUUCCUUGAUUUUCUUUGGCUAGUGGCUCUUAAUUUAGCAAAGCCACUAGUAUAAAUAGGGGCUACUAUGUUCAUUCAUUCAUCAAGUCAUUAAUCAAGUUUUUAAUUACCAAGUUUUUUUUAUUAAGUUUUGCAUCAGGUUCUUUUUAAGCUUUUCAUUAAGUGUUUUUAAUCAAGCUUUCAUCUUCUGAAAUAUAAUCUUUCCUUUCAUCUUUAUUUGCUAGCAUUAGUUCCUUAUUUUCUCUUUCAUUAUUUAAUUUUCAGCUUUAGAAAUACUACACCCAAACCUUGUGUCACCCACAUCCAUCUACUUUCAUUUCUUUUAUUCAACCCUCUCCAAAUAUGCCCAACUCCAACAUGCCUUAAACUUUAGCCAACUAAACCCCUUUCAGCUUUAGGUCGGUAUUAACCCUGUCAAAGACUCGUGAGUUACGAACCCGAGCAAUUUAACUCCUAAUUUUCAGUAUUUAUUAUUUCUCCAGAUUAAGAGUAUGACUUCGUCAACUCACAAAGACAAAUCACAAAGUCAAAUCAACACUAAGUCAAAAAAGACGUCGUUUGAGUUAGUGUGGUUAGACGUACAGUUAGAAUUCUGAAAGGAUCGAUUGUCUAAUUGGUUUUCCGUGAACACAUUAGCGUGCCAAGUGAGGAUUGCUGUUUGGUUCCAUCAAGGGAAGUAGUAACCGGAUUUAAAUGUCCCAUGCGAUUGAGGGCAUUGGUUCGAGCUAGGCUCUUUUAGAACGCAAAGCUGUUGGAGUUCUAAAUCAUGAACGUUUCGUAGGUUGAUCGUUCGGUAAGGGUUAGUUAUUAGACGUUCCAUAACUAAUUUACAUAAGGAAGAGUUGGUGUCUGAGGCGUCCUUGGUAGCUAUAACUAGCUUAUUGGAAAAGAAGAGUUCAUCUAAUUUCGAGGAUCAGUUCAAAGACGAGGAAAAACCCUUGCCUGAUGCUGAGCUAAGUUUAACUAAUUUUUCUUCAGAUUUAUUUAACUUUAUUUAUUAUUUAUUUUAAGCUUUUACUUUUUACGCAUUUUUAUUUAUUUAUUUCAGGUUUCAAAUUUUAUCCCCCCGAACUUCUUGGGCACAACAACUGCCUAGACACGAAUCUAGUCGAGAAAGAGCAACAAUUUUACGUGAAACCAGUCUCUGAGGGAUCGACCCUACUCCCUAUACUGCUUAAAUUGCAAAUUAGACGUAGGUUUAUAUUGGUAAACUCGACAACCAUCACGAAUUAAUGAGAGACAUUGUAGAAAUUCAAAAAAUUUGGUACAUGUUCUUAGAGGUUAUAAUUGGGUGAUCGGAUGGACGAUUGUCGACAUUAAAGGUUUGAGUUGUUUGACUUGUAUGCACAAAAUUCCAGUAGCAGAGUAUGUGAUUCCCAAAAGAGAGACUCAAAGACGUCUCAAUCCGGCAAUGAUGGAAGUAGUAAGGAAAGAAAUUUAGAUAUCACUUGACACCGGGAUGAGCUAUCCCAUAUCUGACAGUAAUUGGGUUAACCCAGUUCAUGUAGUGCCAAAAAAGAUCGGUAUAACUGUAAUUGAAAAUUCGGUAGGUGAGAUAGUUCCCACUCAGAUCCAAAACGGGUGGAGAGUCUGCCUAGAUUAUAUGAAGGUGAAUUCUUCAACUUGAAAAAACCACUUUCCACUUCCUUUUAUUGACCAAAUGCUAGAACAUUUAACUGGUAAGUCUUGCUAUUACUGUUUUGAUGAUUAUUUAGGUUUUUUUUCUAGAUGUUAGUGGAACCGGAGGACCAAGAGAAGACGAUGUUUAUGUGUCUCUUUGGCACAUUCGCCUAUAGGUGAAUGCCAUUUGGACUAUGCAAUGCACUAGCCACGUUCCAAAUGUGUAUUGUAAGUAUAUUUUCCAACUAUGUCGAGAAAAUAAUUGAGGUAUUUAUGGACGACUUUACUAUGUAUGGUAAAUCUUUUUAUAUAUUUCUAUCAAAUCUUGCCUAAAUUUUUAGAAAGGUGCCUAGAAUUUAACAUUGUUCUAAAUUAUGAGAAAUGUCAUUUUGUGGUUGACAAAUGAUUAGUUUUAGGCCAUAUUACUUCUGUUGAAAGAAUUUCAAUUGAUAAGGCAAAAAUUGAUGUUAUUAACUCUAUUUCAUACCCCACAACUGCGAGGGAGAUCCAUUCUUUUCUUGGUCAUGUAGGUUUUUACAGAGAUUCAUUAAAGAUUUUUCAAAUAUUGCACAACCACUUUGUAACCUCUUACAGAAAGACAAAGAAUUUGAGUUUGAUUAAUCAUGCAGGGAUGCGUUUGACACACUCAAACACAAACUAAUUUUGGCACCUAAAGUAUAGUCACCAAAUUGGAACUAUCCUUUCGAAAUCAUGUGUGACACAAGUGACCACAAUAUAGGAGUGGUCCUUGGGAAAAGAAUCAAGAAAGAAUUGCAUGUUAUCUCUUAUGCAUCUAAGAACUUGGAUGUCACCCAAAGCAACUAUUCAACCAUUGAAAAAGAAUUUUUAACUAAAGUCUUUGCUUUGGAAAAGUUUUGAUCAUAUUUAUUAGGAACUAAAAUUGUUGUUUUCUCUGACCAUGUAGCUAUUAUUAGAUUGAUUUUAUCAGAAAAAAAUAAGCGAAGCCAAGACUUAUUAGGUUUAUUUUGCUUUUGCAAUAAUUCGAUCUCGAGAUUAAGGAUAAGAAAAGAUGCAAGAAUUUGGUAGCUGACCAUUUGAGCCAAAUACCCCUAUCAAAAGAUGUGACUCCUUUUAAAGACGGUUUCCCAGACAAAAAAUUACUUUUUACACAAACAAUUUUUCCUUAGUACGCAAACGUGGUAAACUAACUUUCUACAUGCAUCAUUUCUUUUAAUUUAUCACGAUCUGAAAAGGAUAAGAUUAAAAGAGAAUUGCGAUAUUAUGUUUGAGAUAACCUCUACUUUUGGAAAUGUUGUUCUGAUCAGGUAAUUCGAUGAUGCGUUGGAGAAACUAAGAUAAAAUCAAUUUUAGCUUUUUGUCAUUCUUACGCAUAUGGUGGACAUUUUGGCCCUAAACGAACUACACAUAAGAUACUUGAAUGUGGAUUAUUUUGGCCACAUUUUUUCUUGAUGCGUAUUUAUUUUGUAAAACUUGUGAAAGAUGUCAAAAGGUAGGAAAUUUGAGCUGAAAGAAUGAAAUGCCUCUAACACCUAUACAUGUAUGUGACAUUUUUUUAUAUCUAUGGCAUCAAUUUUAUGGGACCUUUUGUUUUACCAUUUGGUAACAUUUAUAUUUUGCUUGCUGUUGACUAUGUGUCUAAAUGGGUGGAAGCUAGAGUUGCCCGUCGUGAUGAUGCUAAAACUGCAGUAGGAUUUCUAAAAAAAAUUAUUUUUUCCAAAUUUGGAACACCAAAAGCGUUGAUGAGCGAUUGGGAAAUGCACUUCUACAAUAAGGUAAUCGACGUGGUUUGAAAAAAAUAUAGGGUAAUACAACGAGUUGCUAUGGCUUAUCACCCUCAAUCAAACGGUCAAGCGAAAGUGUCAAAUCAAGAAAUAAAAUUGAUUUUGGAAAAGACUGUUAUGACAGAUAGGAAAGAUUAGAAUUUGAGACUAAAUGAUGCACUGUCGGCAUACUACACAGCUUAUAAGGGACACAUAAGUAUGUCUCCUUACCAACUUAUAUUUGGUAAACCAUAUCAUCUUCCUAUAGAAUUAGAACACAAGGCGAUUUGGGUUGUUAAGCAAUACAACAUGGAGCUGGAUGUUGCAGGUAAGUAUCAAAAAUUACAUAUUCAGGAACUUGAGGAAAUUCGAUGAGAAGCAUACGAAAAUACCCAAAUUUAUAAAGAUAAAAUCAAGGCAUUCCAUGAUCAAAAGAUAACUUAUCAACUUUUUUUAACGGGCAGAAAAUACUACUUUAUGACCCUACACUAAGAAUUUUUACAGGUAAACUCUAAAUGGUUAGGGCCUUUUGUUAUUACUUACAUAUUUCCGCAUGGUGCAGUCAAAAUUAGGAGUGAAGAAUCCGGAAAAAUCUUCAAAGUCAAUGGACAGUGUUUGUAGCCUUUCUACGAAAAUUUUCAAGUGCGCAUGGUCGAGGAGUUAAUACUUGAAGAGCCGAUUGAAUAAACUUUCAAGUCGUUGAGCUAACAACGUUAAACAAAAGCGCUUUUUGGGAGGCAGCCCAUAUUUAUAUUAAUUUAUUUAAUUUUGAAUUUCAAUUUAAUUUAGGUUAAAAAUAAAAUAAAUAAUAACAAGAUUAUUAUUUAAUCCAUUUUAAUGUGUAAUUCUCGAGGAACAUUGGUAGAGGAUGUAAUUUUUCUUCCCGAAGAAUGAAUUCUGCUCGUGGCAUGGCAUGGCCACGCUUUGUGCUGCCAUUUCUCUAUAUAACCUACAAAUAAAAACCCAAAAUCAGCCCAACACCCCACACCCAAAACUAGCCCAACACCUCACACCCAAAACAAGCCCAAGUUAACCCAAAUAGAAAAAAAGAGGGAAGGAAAAAAAGAAAGGACUGAAUAACUAAAUGUGACCCAACUAUAAAAAAUAAGAAACCCCCCACCAAAAAGAGUACCCUAAGCUCAUAAUCCCUCCAUUCUUCUCCCUUUCUUCUUCUUCCUUUACUCUUAACAAAAACCCUAACUCCAUCAACACCCUCACGCCGCCACCAUUGCCAAAUGUCGCUACCAUCACGGAACAUCGAUUAAUCUUCUCAGUUCCUCACCAACCACCACCGCUCACCUCUCCUAUUUUGUUUUCUUUAUUCCACCGUCGAACCCCUGCACCUCCACCAUUAUCGAUAACACUACCACCUACCAAACCCAAAAUCACCAUUGUCCAUAUCACCGAUAUGUCUCUGUCAUAACUCAAAGCGGUUUUCCUUGAAGAUGGAAAAUUCACCCACCGGGUUUUAUCAAUUUGCAAAUUCUUCCUCAGUUAGUUAAAAGAAUGAAAUUGGCUGAUAUUAUGACCAUACUGGGUAGCAUAGAUAUCAUUAUGGCAGAAGUGGAUCGUUGAAAUGAUAAUUUAUACGACAGAAGUAGAAGAUAUCAAUUCCUUUUACACAUUGGAAUCUUUAAACCAUUCAACCUCUCCUCCUCCUCAAAAACCAGAACUGUCUCAAGCCUGAACAAUUGCUGCUUUGUGUGCUUUUGUUUCCCCAAACCUGAAUGUCACCAUCAGCCACCAUUUGCCUUGCCUUUGCCUAAACGGUGUCAUUACUUGAAAUACCAGAGACCCCCACCCCAUUGAAACCCAAACCUUAAUCCUAUUUAACUUUACCGUUCUUCACACUGUCGUUCUACUUUGCUGUCGUCAGCCACCAUAAAUUUCCGCUGUGAGUAAUCAUAAAUAGACAUCGUUUGUUUAUCAAGCUCGAACGUAGGCCAUGGUUAACACUAGAAACCAACUUCUUGACGAAUUCUUGAUUUUUCUUAAUCGCGGUCGAAACCAAUUUUCGGUGCCUCUAGUCAUCAAUUUAGAUAAUGAAGACUCUGAACCAUCUACGCCCCUUACAAGGCAAACUGUCGCGCCUGUUAGGAAUUGUCACCGACGAAGCCCAACUUCGAUCGAGAUAGAACGCUCUCACAAUAGUCUCGAUAGUUUCAAAAAGUCUAUUCCUAACUUAGAACCUAUUUUAUCUUUACUACCGUACUAUGCAAGUUGCUCGGAUGAGGCUGAGACUUUUAAUAACCUUGGCGAAGGUCUUUCAAAUAGAAAUGAGCACAUUCCUGACGGUCGAACAUGGUCGUCCACCACUCGACCACAUCGACCACCACUUGAUGAACCAAUAACACCUCUACAUAGUAGUACUGAAGUUGCUUAAAGUUUGAGUCUACCACCUGGCUCGCUUGAAGAAAAUGUUCGACCACCCCGAGACAGUCAACGUAAUAUGCGAGACUGUACUUACACUAUACUGACAGAAGCACGACUUUGAGGGUCUCUGGACUUUGCAACCUUAGAGUAUCGCACAAGAUACAACGACAUUCGACAAUGGCCACUCCCGGUCUGUAAGAAAUUUUCUCUUUACCCUCUUGAUAUGCUUAAUAUACGUGAUGUUGUAUUGAACUAUUUUGAUACUAUUGGUUGGAAUUCGUUUGCAAAUAUUUCAUGUGCUGCAUAUUAUGAACUAGUCUAUGAGUUCUAUGCAACGUUUAGCUUCAAUAUUAAUGUAUUAUGAAUUGUUGAAACUUGAGAUGUUGUCAGUUUUUGGUUACUUAGUAAAGAUUUUAGGAUGUUGAUUUCAGAUUUUAACAUCGCCAUGGUUUUUGUUGACCCUGACGAUGUUCAAACUAAUUCAUACCAUACUGCUUUAUUGGAUAUAGCAAGUAAUUUUGAUGCUAAUGCUGCUUAUUCCGCUUUAAUUCAAUCUAGGAAUCAUCUUUAUAAUCCUAAGAUCUUUAAGGACUUGUUUGUGCAUGAACCAACUUUAAGAUAUAUUCAUCGAUUUUUAGCUUUUAGCUAUUCAGGUCGAAAUGAUUCAUCAUCCGUUUUAUCCAAGACAAAAUUAUUUUUCCUGUGGUGUAUGGAUUCUAAAUAUAAUGUUAAUUUGGGAUAUUGGUUUGUACAAAAUUUUUAUACUAUUUUACGCUCUAAUCGACCUCUCAUACUUGGCCCAUAUAUAAAAAAUUUAAUCUCCCAACUUUUUCCCUCUGAAGUUGAUUUUUCCUUCUUUACAUGUACAUAUACUAUGGAUCAUCUUGAUGAGCAUUUUUUGAAUUUUAUGCGCUUGCUUGUCGAUAGCCCUAUUGCAUAUUAUUUUGUUCCUUCAACUAUACAAACUACUCGAAGUAAUAGGGCCUGUCGCCAACAUCACAAUUUUGCUACUAGGGAGCCAGAGGAGCAGCCUCCUUCAUCUAUAGGGGAAUGUUUAAGCUACAUCAAAACUCGCCUUGAAACAAUGGAAACUAGUGUCUCCACGAUUCUCACCAUCUUGCAAAGUAGUCACUCCUAACGCCAACAACCACGUUAGAUAUACACAGGAAGUAUGCUUGACCUUUCUCUCUACUUACUUUAAUUCUUAUACAAUUUGCUUGAGAACAAGCAUAGGUUAAGUAGAGGGUGUUGGAUUAGUAAGUAUGCAUGGUUAUUUCUCUUUAGCUGCAUGAUUGUUUCUCUUUCGCAUGUGUUAAUUCUUAUGCUGGGAUUAUUCGUUAAUUUGUUUGACAUUGAGCCUCUAAUUCCAAUGCUUAGUCAAUUUAGAUAAUUGGGUGGUUCUUGAAUUAAAGUGUUCAUUAUCUAGUUUAAUCGACUUGUGUUAUAAAGUUGAAAUAUUGUAAUUAGAUUGUUUGAUGAAAAUUGAUUAUUUAAAAAUUUGCUUGUUAAGUAUAUCAUUCUUAGUUGUUUAAUUUUAAAUGUAUUUACUAAUGGCAAAAAAAAAAAUUCUACUCCGUUAAGGGCUUAAGCUAUGAGUGAAGAUUUUGAAAAUGUGACCGAAUUUAGUAACCGAAAUGAGGUGCUUGGGUUGUCAUCUCAUUUCACGUAAAAAUGUUUGAGUGAUAAAUCGGAAACUUACAAACACUCCGCUAACCGAGCUACCAUAAGUAGGGAAAAAUAAUCUGUUUGGAGACGUGUCAAAUUGAGUAACCGAGGUAAGGUGCUUGGGUUAUCAUUUCACUUCACAUGAAAAUGUUUGACUAUGUCCCAAAUUUACUACAUAAUUAAUUGAGAAUAAAUACCUUGCAAAUUUUGGUUCAAUUUCAAUUUAGUGAAAUGAUCGAAUAUACAUGUUUAAAUUUUAUGGACACUUGUUGAUUAAACUGAGUAUUUGAACACUUAUUCAUCACCUAAAUUGUUUGUAUUGAUCAUGGUUAUGGAAAAGAGACUUGAUUUCUAAUAAAUUAUUGGAUAGUUUCUAACGUAGGAACAUACAAUAUGCUUGAGGAGAAACAUAGACUAAGUAGGGGGAUUUGAUAGCAUGUUUAUUUUGCAUGUUUUACAUGUUUAAAUCAAUUUAUUCUUGAAUAAAUUCCUGGUAAAUUGGUGAUUUUGUGUUUAAAUUCUGUCAGGAACGCAAUUCGGAUGCUUUAAAUAAAAAAAACAAGUAAAAAGGACUAAAUUGGAGCACAAGCAAUAAAAGAGGGGCUGAAUUGGAAACUUCGAGACAUUUAAAUACUAAUCAAAUUUUUGACUUUGUAAAAGCCAUAUUUAGAAAAAAAAAUCUAAUAUGAAUUUGAUUUCAUGUAAUUGGUUGUUAAGUGAGUUAGGCUAAUUUUAGUAUAUGAAAUAUAUAUAAAUAGGAAAGGUGGUGGUCUUUGAAAAAUAGGCUGGAAUACACGAGGAAAUUGAAUACAAUUUAUCUUCUUCUUUUCGUCAAAACUAGUGCAGGCAUUUUGCUAUUUUACUUUUUUUUUCAUUUCUUUACUUUUUUGGCUGAAUUGCUUCCCAAGUUCCUUCUCUUUCCACCUUAUACCAUUUCUAUUAAAUUUUUUUACAUACACCAACUAGCAUGAUUAAGCUCAUACUUAACUAAUUCCCUUUUAGCUUUAGCCCGAUUAUCGCUCUGACAAAACAAUCGUGAGAUAUGAGCUUAUACUAAAAACUUUUCAACACAAUAUUCACUAUCUCUCUGGAAUAUGGGAUAGUACAAAUUCAUCCCUUAAAGUUAAUUCAAUUUCAAUUCAAAAAGUGCACGUUGGGUUGGAGUUGUUUGGCGUACAAUUGGGAAGUCGAGUAGGCCGUGCUGUAUUCAAAUUCCCGUGAACAAACUGGUGUGUUUAGGUGGGAAAAGGCCAGUUGAAUUUUGUUAAGGGAGAUAGUGAUUGGAUUUAAACGACCCACAUGGUUGAGGCCGUUGAUUUGAGUUAGGCUCUCCAGAACGCAAGGUUGUCGGAGUCUUGAAUUACGAACAUAUAUAUCACAGUUAAAUAAUCGGUAAGGGUUGGUUUGUAGGUCAUACUAGAAUCAACUUCAAAAGGAAAAAUUACCAGUUAUGACAUUUUUGAUCGCUGUAACCAACUUAUCGCUUGGAAGGGAAAAUCCAUUUUUCAAGGAUCGGUUCAAGUUUGGAGUGUAUCGAGGCUAAGGCUAAGCUUUAAUAUAAUUAGUUCAAUGAUUUAAUUUAAUUUAAUUCAAUUAAUUAUAUUUUGCUACCAUAAUUCUGUUUUUAUUUUAUUUUAUUAUAUACUUAUUUAUUUUAUUUUCACUAUCAACUAAAUCUCCCCCUUUCAUUUAUUUUACAGUAUUGCACGUACAGGUCGAGGGUACGACAAUUGCCUAGACUACGAAAUUUGGUCACAAAAAUAGGAAAAUUAAGAGUCUCAAUCCCUAUGGGAUUGAUUCUAUUACUCUAUACUACUAUUUAAUUAAGUUAGAGUGCAGAAAUUUAUAUUUGGUGGAUUAGACACCCAUCAGGUGCGUAGUGCGAUGCUUGUGAAAAAACACGGGGUUAGUGAAUUGAACAAAGACAAGUAGAGUGCACUAAUCGAAAUAUUGUGUAGGCAUAGAUGGCACUUCCUGAGGUGGACUUGAUACGAACCCAUCAUGCAGCUGCAUCUGGCCCUGCGCUAUUGCUGGGGCAAUUGUCGUUGCCUCUUCUAACGAAAUUGCCUACUGUUCGCCUCCAUAGAUAGUAGAUAUGGCUUGCUGGUGACUCUAAACCACAACAAGUACUCUAAACAGGCCACCGUGUCUACUGAGAAAAAUGGUUUACAGAUGGGUAAGAAUUUCAUCUUACAAUCUCAAGCCUCGAUGCACUCCUUGUGCAUCUCUCACAAAUUCUCUUCGUUCUUCCCACGCAUGUCCACCUUGGGCAAUUCUUUCAAGUCUUGCGGUGGCGGUGGAGGUGGAAUUUGUUACCUCUAACUUAACUGCUGCCCCACCUUGUCUAAUUCCUGCAUUUCCACCGUCACGUACACUUUCAACGGUACCUUCAUAUCCCACAUCCUUCAAUUGUCCAACAGUUCCGAGGGGAUGCAAGAUAUGAUAUUGAUGUCGGCGUAUAACAUCCUUUCAAACUGAAAUGCACAAUUGUAAAUUUCAUUAUAUACGAAAUUUUAUUUUACAAAUCAUUGUGUAAUUAGUUUAGGUUCGAAAGAAUAAGUAACUAACCUCGGCUUCCAAGCGUUGAUCUAAUUGUAGCCAAAUGUCUUCAGCCUCCUCGGGUAGUCCCAAGUAACUCAGCCCAGAAUUCAACUUGUAAAAGCGAUAUGUAAGUUCAAAUAUAUGAUAAAUAACAACAUUUACCGUACAAACUACGAUUUAUUAAUAAAUGAUUUUUACCUUGUCACCAACGGAAACAUGUAUGAGUCGUUGACUCGGGGAUGUAGAAAUGGUAGUCACCACUAGGCCCACGACGACAAUAGUAGCAGGUAACCACCAAUUGACAUCUUAUCCGAUUCUGUGGCCCGACACAACUCCUGGUAUAAUGUGGCCAAUAUGGCUAAUUCCCAACUUAGUUUUCCUUGUUCUUUGAAGUCUACUAGGUAUAGUAGCCAUAUUGUGUGUACCAAAUUUUAAGAUUUAUCGGGCAUUAAAAUCCUCCCGAUUAACGGAAGGAUAAAUGCUUAGGCGUAUUUUUCUUUAACGACCUCGAUCACAUCCACAAGAAGCUUAUCAAAUUUUUUUGCCAACCAAUUCAUCAAUAUCUGGCCACCAUCAAACUUGUUCGAGACCUUCCCCAAUAAUGCCGCGCAGAGAUCCUCUUUACCGGGAAUGAUCGCUGCUCCUGUGACGACCUACCCAUCCACCGACAAAUCAAAUUGUAAUGCCAUGUCCUCUAGUGUGAUUGUACAGUCGCCGCAUGAAAGAUAGAAAGUGUAACGGGUUGUUUUCAGUGAAAUCGGAACAGUGGUUUCGAGACCACAAAUCUGAGUUCAUAAGAAAAAUUAUUUUAAUAUUUUUUCAUGAUUUGCAUUAUGAUAGGAAUAUCGUAUAAAAGUUUUGUUGGGAAAAUUUUACCGAUUACAUGUUUAAUUGGUAAAAUGACCAAAUUGCAUGAAAUGAAAAAGUUGAGUUCUAGUAGCUAUAAGUAUCAAAUAGCUAUGGAAUUCAAAUUUGAGGUCCUUAUAUGGUAAAUAGACCAUUAAGAGGGGUUAGUAGAUAAGUAUGAUGAUUCAUCCAUGAAAAGUUAAAUAAAGAAAAGGACAAAAUUGGAAAAAUGAAAAAAAAGAUGAUAAAUAAUAUAAUAAAAGAAAAUAUCAUCAUUUAUAUCAUCUUUUCCAAAAUUAAAUACAUGGAAACCCUAGCUAAGAGAAGAGAACUCAAGCAACUUAUUUGGCUCAAUUAGGUAUGUUUUCUUGUCCCAUUUUUAAUAAUUUUCAUAUUUCUAAGAUCGUAAUAGCUUAAUUUAGCUAUCUCGGGGAUUAACUUGUAAAUUUAUCAAAGUAUUAAAGUUUUUCCAUGGAUGAAUAUGCAUGAAUCAUGAAAUUUAUGGUAAAAAAUGAAAGGUUGUUGAUAGAUAAACAACUUUUGUAAAGUAAAUUUUGAUGAAAUUGUGAUUUAAAGACUAAAUUGUAAAGAUGUAAAAUUUAUGGAAAAAUUCUGAAUUUUAUGAAUUACAUGGGCUGCAAAUGUUAUAUGUAAAAAUUGGCUAGACUUGGAAUAAGGAUUAAAUUGCAUUAAUUUUAUUUUUUGAGCCUAGGGAUGAAAUCGUAAUUAAAUAAAAGUAUAUGGGAAAAAUGGUAGUUUUACCUACGAUGUGACUUGGAUUGAAUUGAAUAUGAAUUGUAUUAAAUUGAGCUAAAUUUACUCGUAUAGAUCCGGAUAGACCAAAUAUAGAGAUAGAUCGUGGAAAAGAGAAAGUAACGAAUUGGUAGAUUUUGAAUAGACGAACAUUGUCAAGGUAAGUUUCAUGUAACUAAAUUGUGUAUAUUUAUAUGUUUGAAUUGAAUGUUGUAUAUGUGAAUUGUAUAAAUUCCAUAUAUAUGAAAUUGAUUACAUAUCCGAUAAUGCCCGAAAAUUAUUAAGUCUUAUUUGAAUAAAUGAAAUUCGAUGAAUAUAGAGUUCCCGAAUUGGUUGUGGUCCUACAUAUGUUGUGGACACACCAUAGCUUAAAAAAGCGUCCCAUUAUUAGCUCUCAUGAGCAUCCCGAUAUUUGGCCCUCUUGAGCUUCCCGUUAUAUGGUUCUGACGAGCUUCCUGUUAAUAGCUCUUCAGAGCAUCUCGAUUGGUUGUGAUUCUGCAUGUGUUGUAGACACACCACAACUCUUAUAAGCGUCCCGAUUAAAGGCUCUUUGUGAGAUUUCUGAUUAAUGGCUCUCCGGAGCUUUCCGAUAUUGGCUCGCUUGAACUUCCCGAUAUAUGGCUAUUCGGAGCUUCUUGAUUAAUGGCUCUUCGGAGCUACCCAUUAUUGGCUCGUACGAGCUUCCCGAUUAUGGCUCUUAUAAGCUUCCUGUUAUACAGCCCAGAUAAGCUUCCCAUUACAUGACUCACAUGAGCUUCCCAUUAUUAGGCUCAAGAGACGAUUUCCCAAUUAUGUGCUCUAAGGAGCACUCCCGAAUAUGAAUUGACGGAUUAUAGUUUUGUACACUUCGUAUGUACUAUGCGUGUAUCCAUUGAAUAAUGAAUGACUCAACUGGUAAAGUUUUGAUAUGAGAUGAUAUGGAUUCAUGACGAAUUGUUACGGAAAUAUACCUAAAAAACAAGGAUAUGAUAUGUACAUGUUAUAUGGAUUUUUAAUCUGGAGUAUAUAUAUGUAUAUGGAAAUUUGAUUGUUAUUGAGCUCAAACAUGUUUCUUGAUACUCAUAUGAAAUAUGUGACUAGCAUGGUUGAUAAGGAUAUAUGUUAGGGCUUUUGGCCAAAUUGCUUGAGUAUGCUUUGAAUACUUACCUUAAUUGUAAAUGAAUGGUAAGUUAAUUACCCGUUAUACGAACUUACUAAGCAUAAUAUGCUUACUCUGUUUUAUUUUCCUCUGUCUUAUAGUAAAUCGGAAGCUCGUUGAGUUGGAAGCUUGGCGAAGAUAUCAUCACACUAUCCAUCGGCCCAUCUCGGUAUAUUUAGUAAAUUAACUUUGAUUAUAAUGGCAUGUAUAGGUUAAUUUGACCAUUGAUGGCAUGUAAAUAUUUUGUUGUGAUUAGCCAUUUGAAUGUCUUAUGUUUGACACAUUUUGAUAUAUACAAGUAUAUGGCCUUAUCAUGGUUGAUAUGUGUCUUGGUAUAAAUGAUUGAUGGUUAACUAAUAGGCAAAUUGUAACAUGGUUUGAGUUGGUAUAGUUGGUACAAAUAUGAAUAUAUAUGUAAGUGAUUAAAUUGUUAAGUAUGGAUACUUGGUUAUAUAUGAUGAUAUGAUAUGCAUAAGACUUGGUUUUGGCUUAAUUCAAAUGUUUUAUAUUGGUUUGGGAAUUUGUUUAAGUGUUAAUGUAGGUGGAAGACAAGUUUGGGUAAGAAUAUGGCUAGGAAAUGGUCUUAUUUUGUCCACACAGGUAGAGACAUGGGCGUGUGUCUCACACACGGCCUAGCACAAGGAAGUGUGUUUUGGCUGUGUGUCCCCUACAUCUUAAAAAUUUCAAAACAGAAUGCUCAAUAUUUAUGACGCAGCCUAACACACGGCCUAGCACAAGGGCGUGUAACUUGGUCUUUAACCCAAGUCAGAGAGUUACACGGGUACAGACACAGGUUGAGACACAGUCGUGUGCUCAUUUCGAAUGCCACACGGCCUAAGAGACGGCCUAAGGCACGAGCGUGUCUCUUGGCCGUGUGAGCCAAACGGCCUGACCACACGGGCGUGUGUACCCUGCACUUUGGAAAAAUUUUGAGAUUUUACGAAAAAUUCUCUGAGUACCUGGCUUAGUCUUGGCUUGUUUCUAAUGUAUGUUUUGGGCCUCGUGAGCUCAUAUAAGGGACUUUAUGAAGAAUAUCUGACAUGAAUGUUAAAUAAUAUGAAAUGUCUGUAUUUGAUCUAUUUAUUCCGGUAAUGCUCCGUAACCCUGUUCCAACAAUAGAUAUGGGUUAGGGUUGUUACAAAAAGUGUGUGUCUCGGACCUCCAUCUUUCCACCAACACGUUGAUGAGUCUAGGAUCGAGUUUGUAGCCCCCAAGCAUAUGAGACGCAUUCAAAAAUCUCGCCUUUUGCAAGCAACCACGAAUUUCGGUGAUCGGAGGCUUUGCCAAAUUAUGUAUGAACACCUCCAAAUCUGCUUAUUUAUAAUGACAAAAAAUUAUUUUAAUUUAUAAAAAAAACUUUUAAAUUUAACUUGAUCGAAAAGAAUAAAAAUUAAAUUUUCAUCUUACCAUUACUACUUGAGCAAUAGAAAUGUGCUUGUCGCUGAAAUGAAUUAAAGAUGUUGCUAUUUGUGAAAACUUAAUCCGAACGGAUCAAAUACGGAAUAAUUAAAAAAACUAAUAUUUUUAAAGGAGAAUAUCAAAAAAUUUUGAACAAGAACUUGAGAAAAUUGAGAGUUUGGAAAUUAGAAAGAAUUGAGAGAAUAGGAUGCGAGUAGAAAAAAGAAUAUUUUGGGGGGUAUUUAUCGUUAAAAAAAAUUGAUCAUUGGCCUUUUAAAAUUUUUUACUGUUGCACGACCAACAGUCAUUUGAACAUUGAGGGAAAACAUGUUCAACUGAGUGCACUUUCCGUUUCUCUCUCUAAAAAUAACUUAUUUUCUUAAAUUAAAAAAAAGACUUAAAAUGGCAUUUUUGCCUAAUUUAACCAUUUAAAUCUAUUAGUUGGAAAACCUAAUACAUUACUAUAAAAAAAUUGUGCUAGUUAUAUUAUAUUAUAUAUAUUUAAAUUAUAUUAAAAAUAAUUAUAAUCUAAUUUAGGUUUAGUAGUUAAAAAAUUAUACUUUUGAAAAACAUUAUGAUAAAUAAUUAGUUAUUCUAAAUAUAUUAUGAUAUUUCUAUCCAAAAAAAAAUUAUGGUGGUUAUAUUAAAAAAAAGUUUGAUAGUAAUAAUAUAAUUUAGAUUUAUUAGUUAUAUAAAAUAGUAUAUGUAUGGUACUUUUAUUAAAAGAAGUUGCGAUAAUUUUUUUAGUGAUGUAAAAUAGAGUUAAAAUUUGAAAAGAAGUAUAAGCAUAAAAAAAAGUGUAAGCAUAAGAUAAAAAAUAAUUUAGGUUAAUUAUCACUUAAUUAAUAAUAGUAUUAUAUAUAAAUUAAAAUGUAAGUUUAGCUUUAUAAAUAAUAUCAAGUAGUUAGUCAUAUUCAAUCAAAUAGCAUUUAUAAAAAUUACCCAUUAAAAUUGGAGAUUCUUGGUAUUAGGAUGAAACAUUCAAGCUAUGAUUAGUGGAAUAGAGUUGAUAGAUCACUUUAAUUGAUAAUACAAUAUUAUGAUAUUAUUUUUUAAAAUUUUUCUUUAAAUUGUUUAUGUUGUGUGAAACAAACACUCUUUUAUCAUUUUUUCUUUUACAUCAUCAUCAUUAUUUGUUAGGCGUACGUAAAAAUAAUUUAAAAAAUCACAAUUAUUAAAUGUGUUUAUUUUUUAAUGUAAAUAUUUUUCGUAUUUUUCAUGAAUUAUUAAAAUGGUUGCAUGUUGUUUUACCUAAUUUUUUUAAUUUUAAGUUAAUAUUAUUAAAAUUUCAUAUGUGUAAUUGUUUUUUAGUUAAAUAUUUAUUUUAUUUAUAUCUAUUUUUUAGGGAUCAAAAUAAUAAAGCUUGAAGAAUAUAAAAUAUUGAUAUGCAACAUGUUCAUCUUUUCAAUAUUAAAUAAAUAUUCAAAUGCAUUUACCAAAAAUAAAUAAAUAAAUAUUCACAUACAAUACACAUGACAUAAUUGAUAUAUAUUAAUUAUGUUAAUUAAUUAUUAUUUUAAAUAAUGUUAUUUUACAUUAAUUAUAUGAAACACUGUACAUUAAAUAUGUUAAAAAUACUUUAAUUAUGAUUUCAAAUUUAUUAUAAUAUUUAAAUUUUAAAUAAGUUAUUAAAUUUUAAUUAUAUUUAAGAACUUGAAAAAUAUUAUUCAUUAAUUACAUUAAUUAAAAUAUAUUUUAAAAUAAAUCAAUAUUAUUUUACAUUAAUUACAUUAAUUAAAAAUUAAACAUGUAGAAUCACAUGCAACAAUAGAAUUAGUAUAUAUAAAAGCAUGAGUUUGAAAAAACUUUUGAACUAACGAGACCCUUUAUUUUCUAUCAUAUUACUAAAUUCAAAUUUUAAAAUAAAAAUGUUGAAGUAAAAUAGAAGUUGUGAUAAUUAUACAUUUAAAAAUAAUUAUAAUUUAGUGUAAAUUAUACUGAUGAUCACCCCGCGUUUCUAUUUUGGUCACCCAACUUUAAAAUUUUCAAUUUAGGCAUUAAUGUUUGAAUUCAUUCCUGUUUUGGUCACCCAUUGUUAAAUUGAUAACGUAAAACCUUUUUUUAACUGGUAUAAUAACACAUUUAGUCCUCAAUACUCACAUAUUCUAUCAAUUUGAUCCUAAUUCUGAAUAAUUCAAUAAAUUUAACCCUUUACAUUUACAAAUUCUAUCGAUUUGAUCCUCAAACUUCCUAAUCAAAGCUUUCAAUUUUAAAAUAGAGACAUCCCACAUCUAUAAAUUUUGUAAAAACCAAAAAAAAAAAAAAAUCUAUCAAUUAAUGAACCAUUUUCCAAGUCAAUUCUUUUACCUAUAAAUUUUUGGAACUGGACAUCCAUAAUGAAUAGCUUUUUGAUAAUUAAAUCAAUCAUCAAAGAAUACAUUUGAAUGUUAAGGAGACUUGUUGAACUGCGUUAUGGUAAUAAAGCAGUGGACACAAUUUUCACAUCCAAUGUAUAAAGCUGUGGCUGCUGCAGAAAAAUGCUUGCCCCGUUUGUAAGACUGAGGCAACACCUCGAUGAUAGCAGCAACAGCAACCAUGGAUGGAUUCAAAUCAAUUUAACCCUCUUGUUGGUGGUUUACUUAUGGCUAGCACCAAAAUACAAAAUCAAGGCUUCCUUUAUUUUAUUUAGUCUAUUUGAUUAGUGUUUUUAUGGAUAAAAAUUGUAGCAACUUUGCCCCAAAUCAAAUAUGAUUGCUUCUUGUAGUCUGACGCAUAAAAACAAAUCGGAAAAUUUAAGUUAAACCUUGAAGAAAUGUAGCUUUGAAUAAUUAAUUCCAAAGCAUCCAAAUGAUAGUCUCCUUACGCAACAAAAUCGCACUUGAGUUAAAAAGGCUUGAAAUGUCCCCUGUAUUGCUUACAAAUUAUAUAUUUAUCGGGUUAAGUGAUAAAAAAAAUUAAUAUUUAAAAUUUUAAGUUUGAGUUUUGUAAAUUAAAAAAAAAAAUUUAUUGGGUUACUUUGAUACCAAUAUAGAGCCUCUUACAAUUUGUUUUAUUGGAGAAGUUUUUUCUUUUUGGCGGGGUGUUUACAUAUUUAUAGACAUGGAAUGUCUCUGUUUUAAAAAUUAAAAACUUAGGUUAGCAUGUUUGAAUAUCAAAUUGAUAGCAUUUGUAAAUGUGAAAAGUUAAAUUUAUCGAAUGAUUCAGAAUUAGCAUCAAAUUCAUAGAAUAUGUAUGUAUUUAGGACUAUAUGUGUUAUUCUACUAGUUAGAAAAUUGCUUUCUUUAUCAAUUUAACGACGAGUGACCAAAAUAGAAACAGAAUCAAACAUUAGUGCCUAUAUUAAAAAUUUUUAAAGUUGGUGACCAAAAUAGGAACGCGAGCAUAGUUGGAUGACUAUUUGUAUAGUUUAUCAUUUAAAAAUAAUUAUAAUUUAAUUUAUAAUUAUUAAUUAUAAAUAACAUUUUAAAAUAGAGUUAUUAGUGAAUAAAAAUCUAAGUAUAAAAUAAAUAAAAAAAUUAAAUAUAAUUAUAAUUAAAAUUAUUAAUUAAAAAUUUUGAACUAUAACGGACCAUGUAAAUUAGAAAUAUAGUGUUAUCAAUAAUUUAAAUUAUUAAUAAUGAGAUAAAUUUUAAUAAUUAUUUAUAUUAUUAUUUAAAACUCUGACUAAACUGAUGUUAUGAGAUAAUUAGACAUCAACUCAAUUAAAAAAAUUAUAUAAAUAUUUUUCAUAAUUAAAAUAAAUUACAUGUUUAUUAAUAAAAAAACUCUCAAUUAAUCCUUCACAAAUUUUAGCACUCAAUGGAAUUGGAAAUUCAUCACAAUUCACAACCAAGCCGUUCAUAUACGUUGACUUUGUUUGACCGUUUAAUUGUGUUUUUGGCUAACGGUGGAAUCAGGAAAGGACAAGUGGCGCACACAUCGAUGCUGAAAUGGCAAAUCGGCUGACGUGGAUUAAUCAUAUUUUAAUAUCCCAAUUUUUCUUUUAAAAAUCCAAAAUAAAAAUCUUAUUUUUUUCCUCAGUUCUCAACAUUGUCACUCUCUUUGCAACCAAAGCUACAACAAUGGCAGCAUCGAACCAAAAAAAAGGGCUUCAUUGAUUUAAAAUAUGUUUAAAUAAUUAUUUUAAACAAUAUUUUUUUUUGGAUUUUUUAUUUUUUAAAUAUUUAUUUUAUCAUAUCAACAUGAUGUACAUAUGACCGUCAUGUGUCACUGUUUAAUUAAUCGAACAUCCAUGUCAACAAAAUUUAAUGGUCAAACUCGGUCAACAUUAACGAAGGGGAUUAAUGAUUAAAUUUUCAUCUUUAAUGGCUCACUUGGGUGUUAAAUUCCAUUGAGGGCAAUUCUGAAAAUGCUCUCGUCUUCUUCGGUUUCUAAUGUGGACAAUAAUGGAGAAGGUGAUUCUCUUCCUGAGGAUUCCAUCACACAGAAGGUCUGUUUCAAGGAAUCGAACGUGAAUCUUGAAGAUGUGAUGGUUGUGGAGGAUUCCAACACAAAGAAGGUCUGUUUCAAGGACUCGGAUGUGAUUCUUGAAGAUGUAAUGGUCAUGGAGUCAUCACCAACGCCUUCUUUUUCUUGAAAAGAUAUACUAGCGGGGAAGGAUACUCUUGUGCAGAAUAAUACAAAUAAUGGCCACUUCCUUGUUGAUAAUUUUUCCCUCACUGAGCAGGAUGUAAAGAAAUUGGUUAUCGAUGGUGUUCCUUCAAUAGAUUUCUCGGAGAGAGUAUAUCAGCUCUUGGAAAAGGAAAUGUCAACCUCUGUAGUUCUCAAGAUGCUUGGUCGGAACCUUGGAAUCACGGCUCUGCAUAAUAGAUUAUAUGGGACUUGGAAACCAUCUAAGCUUUUUCAAUUAAUGGAUAUAGAGAAUGGUUAUUUUCUCGCUAAAUUUCAAAGCACUGAUGACUAUGAUAAGAUCCUCUCCUAGGGCUCGUGGGUUAUUUUCGGUCAUUACCUAACCGUUCAACCAUGGACGAUCGAUUUUAAUCCUAGUCUACCUUACCCUAAUAUGGUUCUCACAUGGAUUCAGUUUCCCGGUCUUCCUAGCCAUUUAUAUUAAAAACAGAUUCUAAUGGAGAUUGGGGGAAUGGUAGGCAAAGUUACUAAAUUAGAUUUCAACACGGAUAGCAAAGCACGGGGUCGUUAUGCUCGCAUGGCAAUUUAUUUCAAUUUAGGGAGACCUUUAGUUUCUAAAAUUCUCAUCAAUGUAGCCCUCAAAGAAUUGAGUAUAAGAACCUACCUGUGGUAUGCUUUAAGUGUGGUUGUUAUGGACACAUCAAGGAGAACUGUCCGUCUUUUACACAUUCUUCAGAGAUGAAAGAGAAGGGAGAGACUUUGGAACAAAACUUUUCAACUUCUGUGGUGGUCGGAGAUGGGGAUUAUGGCCCCUGGAUGCUGGUGGAGCGGAGGAGCAGACGCGGCACCUUGGAUGAGAUCAAAAAAGGAAAUAAUUCUAAAGGGGAGAAAAUUAUGGGAUCACGAUUUCAAUUGUUAACAGGUCUGGAGGCGAGUUCAACGGAGGAGGAUUUAAUAAGGAAAAUCAGAGAGAUUUGAAGAAAAAAGGGAAAGCUACAUUAAGUGAUACCCAAGAGAAAUCUUCAACGGGUAAAAAAUUUGUUUUUAAUGGCUCUAAAAAAGUGAAUUUGGGCCUGUCGGUGGGAAAGCUUCUUAAUGGUCAGGCCGGUGACCCUAAAACCAAUACUCUCUUAAAGGAUCAUAAUAAGGUUGGGCUCAAGUUGGGCUUGGUCCCACAGGUUCCUUCAGCUGCUAAUCAACAGGCUCCUUUGGAUAUUCAGCAGGCCUCUAGCAGUUUUGAUUUUGGACAGUAGUAAGAGACCCAAGUUUCGAAGGAGGCUAGAACAGAUCUUUCAAAGCUUUCUAGUGUCAUGCACGUUUCACUACCCAGUGUUGGAGAAAAUAAUCAGUCCCUAAAUUGAGGUAUUUCUGACUCCUUUUGUCUUUUAGUUUUAAAUUCACAGAAUGGUUUUGUUGCAGACCAUGUGAAGAUGGACACUCCUAUUUCAAUCCAAAAACAAGCAGAACAUGUAGUGCACUUUAAUCCUAUAUUUGAGGAGAGUUCGUUUGUUAAUGUGGCGGUAAAGGAAGGAGUGUUGGAGGCCAAAAACAAUUCGGCAGUGGUGUUAAAAAAGAGAAGCAUUUUGGAGCCUGUUAGAGAGGAGAUAGGGGGUAGUGUUUGUCCGACUGAAAUUAAAUUGCCUAGAGUGGUCUUGAAGGGACAGAAUACAAAUGCUAAAGUAAUUAGCUCUAAAGAAGGGUGAAAACUCAAUAAAACCUUAAAGGGAUUGAGUAAUCGUUUCAAGAACUCUGAAAAUACCCGGGUUUAUUUUGUUGAUUCUAUGAAGAGGGCAGCAGAGCUUAUUGCAUCUGAGAUUGAUGAAAAUUCUGCUAAGGAUUUAUCGCAGAGAAAAGGAGAGCGAGAGGAGUUUUCUUCUACUGGCCACCAUUAAGAGAAACUAUUUUCUUUCUUUUUAAUAUGAAUUUGUCUAUUUUAUCUUGGAAUGUGUAGGGGUGUGCGUCUGAUAAAUUUUUACAAGCUUUUCGUAAGUAUAAUAAUCAGUACAAGCAUGAUAUAAUUAGCCUUCUUGAGCCAAGAAUCAGUGGGUUAAAACUAACACAAUUAUUACUAAGUUAGACUGGGAUAAGUCUUAUCGAGUGAAAGUAGUGGAAUUUUCUGGUGGUAUCUGGAUAGGUUGGAAAAAUUCGAUUAAUUUGGAGGUGGUUGGUAACUAUCCUCAAUUCAUCCUGGCUUGUAUUUGUUAUAAAUUGUAUUUUCAUAUGAUAUUUAUUACUUUUGUUUAUGAGAGCCUUGAUAAACAGAAAAGGAAAUUUUUGUGGAAAGAUUUAAGUCGCUCAGUCCCACGUGAGUAUGUUCCUUGGAUGGCCAUUGAAGAUUUUAACGCCAUCCUAUCAUCAGAAGAUAAAAAAGGUGGUUAUGUCAAAGGUCGCAGAUGCCAAUCUUUUGGUAAAGUUAUGGACAAAGCUCAUUUGCACGACCUAGGUUUUCAGGGUCCCCCGUUCACGUGGCAUCGUGGUAAUCUUUCUGAAAGACUUGAUAGGGUUGUGGGAAAUGACGCUUGAAUGGAAGCCUUCCUCAAAUGUUUGAUUACCCAUCUUCCCGGAAUUAAAUCUGAUCAUCGUCCACUGCUCUUGAAUUUUUGUUAUGAUGUUAGUUGUGCUCCUAAUCGUCCCUUCCAAUUUUUAGCUGGCUGGUUGCAUCACCAAAAUUUCUCUGGAUUUGUUACGAAUAAUUGGAGCUUCAAUGGCAAUAUAACAAGUGCAGUUGCUAAGUUUACGGAUAAGCUCAAAAUGUAGAACAAAUGUGUUUAUGGUCAUAUAAGUCAACGGAAGAGGCAGUUAAUGUACAAGCUUGCUAAGAUACACGAUGCUUUGGAUCUCUUGGGGUCUAAUUCUCUUUUUCAGCAAGAAGUGAUAUUCGUGAUGAGCUUGAAAAUAUUCUCCACCAUAAGGAGAUACUCUGGAAGCAAAAGUCUAGAUGUGAGUAGCUAAAAUUGGGAGAUCGUAACACGAGCUACUUUCAUAAGCAUACGGUUCUGAGAAGAAAUUUUUAUAAAAUCACUACUUUGUGUAAUGCUGAUGGGGAUUGGAUUUUCGAUCCUGAGGUUCUUAAGAUGGAAGAAGUUAACUUUUUCCAGAAUCUUUAUGGGGAGAAUCCAGGUCCGUUAGGGUUUCUACCUCCUAAUGCUUUUCCAAGCUUUAGUACCAAAGAUGUUGAUUUUCUGGGGAGAGGUGUUACGAUGAGGAAAUUAGGGUUGCCUUUUUUAAUAUGGCACCCUUGAAAGCCCCAGGUAGCGAUGGUUUUCAAACUGCUUUCUUUCAAAACCAAUGGGAUAAUAUAGGGGGAGCUAUUUGUGAGUGGGUUAAGAAGGUUUUCAAGGGAGGAACCAUUGAUUCAAAGUUUAAUAACACACUUAUUGUGUUAAAUCCCUAAAGUUUCUAACCCAGAAAACUUCUCGCGGUUCCGUCCUAUUAGUCCCUGCUCUGUGUUGUAUAAGCUGGUCAUGAAGUCAUUGCAAAUAGAUUUAAGAGUAUCUUCUCAAAUAUCAUAGGUCAAGAACAAGUAGGCUUCAUUGCAGGGAGAAGCAUUAUUGAUAAUGUCACUAUUGCCCAAGAAGUGUUACGUUCAAUAAGAUCCAAGAAGAAGCUUCAGUGGAUGGCAAUCAAGAUCGAUUUGAAGAAGGCUUACGACAGAGUCAGAUGGGAUUUCAUGGAAGCUUUUCUUAAUGCAGCAUGUAUUCCUUCUCACUUGGCUAGAGUUAUUAUGAAUGCUAUUUCAUCAUCCCCUAUGCAGGUUUUAUGGAAUGGUGCUCCAACACAAAAGUUUAGAUCGGUUGGAGGUAUUCGACAAGGAUAUCUUUUGUCACCAUAUCUCUUCAUUUUUUGUAUAGAAUGGUUGGGCCAUAGAUUUCACGCGGGUAUCUCUUCAGAGGAGUGAGUCCCAUUUGACUAUCUUGCAUAGGAUCGAAUCUCUCACAUAUGUUUUUUUUUUGCAGAUGACUUGGUGAUUUUUAGUUGAGUUGAUUUGGCUCAUAGUGGCCUCCUUAAGAAUUUUUUGUGUAAUUUUUACGAGUUAUCAGGUCACAAGGUCAA
rnacentral:lncRNA from 1 species